GACGAACGCUGGCGGCAUGCCUAAUACAUGCAAGUCGAGCGGAGUUGAUGGAAAGCUUGCUUUCCUGAUACUUAGCGGCGGACGGGUGAGUAACACGUAGGCAACCUGCCCUCAAGCUUGGGACAACUACCGGAAACGGUAGCUAAUACCGAAUACUUGUUUCCUUCGCCUGAAGAGAACUGGAAAGACGGAGCAAUCUGUCACUUGGGGAUGGGCCUGCGGCGCAUUAGCUAGUUGGUGAGGUAACGGCUCACCAAGGCGACGAUGCGUAGCCGACCUGAGAGGGUGAUCGGCCACACUGGGACUGAGACACGGCCAGACUCCUACGGGAGGCAGCAGUAGGGAAUCUUCCGCAAUGGGCGAAAGCCUGACGGAGCAAUGCCGCGUGAGUGAUGAAGGUUUUCGGAUCGUAAAGCUCUGUUGCCAGGGAAGAACGCUUGGGAGAGUAACUGCUCCCAAGGUGACGGUACCCGAGAAGAAAGCCCCGGCUAACUACGUGCCAGCCGCCGCGGUAA
rnacentral:rRNA from 1 species